AGCGAACGCUGGCGGCAGGCCUAACACAUGCGAGUCGAACGAACUCUUCGGAGUUAGUGGCGGACGGGUGAGUAACACGUGGGAACGUGCCUUUUGGUUCGGAAUAACUCAGGGAAACUUGUGCUAAUACCGAAUGUGCCCUUCGGGGGAAAGAUUUAUCGCCAUUAGAGCGGCCCGCGUCUGAUUAGCUAGUUGGUGAGGUAACGGCUCACCAAGGCGACGAUCAGUAGCUGGUCUGAGAGGAUGACCAGCCACACUGGGACUGAGACACGGCCCAGACUCCUACGGGAGGCAGCAGUGGGGAAUCUUGCGCAAUGGGCGAAAGCCUGACGCAGCCAUGCCGCGUGAAUGAUGAAGGUCUUAGGAUUGUAAAAUUCUUUCACCGGGGGCGAUAAUGACGGUACCCGGAGAAGAAGCCCCGGCUAACUUCGUG
rnacentral:rRNA from 1 species